UAGAUACCCUAUUAUUUUUAUUGUAAAAAUUAAAGCCGGAGUAUUAGUAGUUAAGGUCUUGAAACUUAAAGAAUUUGGCGGUAUUAUAGUCUAUUUAGAGGAAUCUGUUAUGUAAUCGAUAAUCCGCGUUGAAUCUUACUUAUAUUAAUUCUUGUAUACCGCUGUUUGUGAAUAUACUUUAAGGUGAAUUUUCUGGAUAUAUAAUUAAUUAAAAGUUCAAGUCAAGGUGCAGUAAUAUAUAAGUUGAAUAAUGGAUUACAAUAAAUUGUAUUUAUUUAUGGAUAAUUAUUUUGAAAUAAUUUGAAGGUGGAUUUAAUUGUAAUUUUAUGAAGAUUGUUAAAAUGAUAAAUAGCUCUAUAGUAUGCACACAUCGCCCG
rnacentral:rRNA from 1 species